AACUGGACUGAGGAGCAAUGUUUGUUGCUGGCCCAGUUGGUGAACGAACAUAAAGGUAUGUUACGAGGAAAAUUUGGCCCAACUGUCACUAGCCAAGGCAAGAGGCGCGCCUGGGACACAAUAUCCCAAACAAUCAAUGCCUCUUUUCCACUGGUGGUGCGGACAGGCGACGAUUGUGAGAAAAGGUGGUAUGUGCUGCAGUCCAAGGCAAAAGAUGAGAUUGCAGCAUACAAGCGGGAAUCCUCACUCACAGGGGGUGGACCACCUGCAAAGCGGCUGUCCCAGGUGGCCGACACUGUCUUUCAAGUCCUGGGACACUCUGAGGUCAGUGUCACCGGGCUGCCAACAGGCAUUGACACGUCAAUGAUGCAGGCCCUUGAAAUGCAGCAAAGCAUUGAGCCAUCACAAGAACCGGGCCCAUCAAGUUUGCCGCCUGAACCAUCUGCAGCUGCUACUCAGGAUAGCCCGGCGGAUCAAACACCAUUCCCAUCCGCAGCACCUGCUCCGUCAGCAUCCCUGCAGGAGAGAAGAUUGCAACUCACAAUUGAU
ensembl:lncRNA